rnacentral:rRNA from 1 species
AACGAACGCUGGCGGCAUGCCUAACACAUGCAAGUCGAACGAGACCUUCGGGUCUAGUGGCGCACGGGUGCGUAACGCGUGGGAACCUUCCCUUAGGUUCGGAAUACCUCCCCGACAGGGGUGCUAAUACCGGAUAAUGUCUUCGGACCAAAGAUUUAUCGCCUUGGGAUGGGCCCGCGUUGGAUUAGCUAGUUGGUAUGGUAAAAGCCUACCAAGGCGACGAUCCAUAGCUGGUCUGAGAGGAUGAUCAGCCACACUGGGACUGAGACACGGCCCAGACUCCUACGGGAGGCAGCAGUGGGGAAUAUUGGACAAUGGGCGAAAGCCUGAUCCAGCAAUGCCGCGUGAGUGAUGAAGGCCUUAGGGUUGUAAAGCUCUUUUACCCGGGAUGAUAAUGACAGUACCGGGAGAAUAAGCUCCGGCUAACUCCGUG